rnacentral:lncRNA from 1 species
UGGACCCACUGAGGUUUUUGUAUCAAUACCAAGGUCCAAAGAAGGAUGCGGAGACCCGGACCCCAGUUUUACCGUCGCCCCACUUUUCUUCAUUUUCCUCCUUCCAAGAGAGGCACUGCCCUCAGACUCCUGCACAUUUUGAUUUCGUGUUUUUUUUUUGAGAUGGGCUGCGCGCGUCAGGCUUAUCUGCAUCGCCUCUCCGCGUUGAUCUUAGAAGACUUGGAAACAGUUCAGAUUGUGUCGGUCCCCGAUAGCAAUCAAGUCCAUUCGUGCCCAGUGUUCUUUCGCGCGUUUCUAAACCCGGCAAAACGCCAGCACGGUUUUCGCCGGGGAUUCCGUUCUCUAUCCACUGCCUAUCUGUUUUCAAAUCCGUUCUCAAGUUUGCACAGUCGAAAACACAGUGAAACACCUGCAAAGGACGGAUCGUCUCGUUUUUUGGACCAUCUUUUAUUUAGCGUAGAGUUUGCAAGCAUUCCCCGUGCUCCCCAUGCUGCGGUGACUCCUCCAAUGACUGUGUUGGCAACGCAUCGCAGCCGUUACAUUUUAAGGCAGAUCUCUCUGUGGAACAGUUGGCACCGGUGUUUCCGAGGCCUUGUCUGUCCCAAAAAGAGAAUCUUUGGCCUGUGUGAAGCUGGUUUCUCUCCUUCUUUAGUGGAUCCGGUUUUCGUAGAGUCAAGGGCUGAUAGAAAAAGUGGAGGAAAGAACACAAUCGGCCACACGUGCCAGUGAGCGGGGAGCAGCACUGCCCCAGGCGUCGCAACAGAAAUCCGAAGAUCCUCGCGUAUCGAACAGUUCGACGCUGCCACACUGAAUGACAGUGGUCCAAAACCGGCAUUCCCCUUUGGUCGAGCGACUUCGCCUGAGGUCAGGCGGGAGUCCGCACAGCGUUUCGCUGUGCAGUUUUGGUCAUCUUAGUCGAACGAAGUUGGUCUACACGGCAAUGGCGCUUUUUGAUGGGCCAGUGCGCUGCGUUUUAGCAAACUCUGCCUGCUAGAAGCGCUGUAUCCGCUUGAACAGCGCAGUGUUGUGCAAAAGUGGAAAAUGGUGUUUGAACGGUGAGCCUGCAACACCUUACUUCCUUUCCACGCUGCAACUGCUCUUUUCUAAUGGGUGUCUAUGCCCGUACACCUCUACACAUUCGCAGGCGUUUAUGCGUAGAUCUAGAGGGCGACAUGUUCGUUUUUCCUCUUCAUGAUGAGCUGUACGUCAAUCCACGGUGGUCCAAAUAGCCCCGUGCUUUGUCCUUUGUGGCUGGACAUGUAUAUAUGUAUGUACAUAGUUAUUCUUCUGUUUACAAGCGGAUUUCAGAGUAUGUUGCGAGAUUCAAGGUAAGCUCACGAAUGCGCCUGUGCAAGCUGUGGCACAGGACGUCCAAAGUUACCCUUAGGGGCACCGCUUUCAAGCGUUGCAGCAAGGAGCAUCAACCUAAGGACAAAUCUGCAGGCGCGAGUGGCGGUUUCCGUAUUGGAUUCAAGUUGAGGAAAAAGAUCAAAAACUCCGACUGUAAGUCAUGACCAAACCGACGAGAUUCACAGUCGGACGUGCUGUCGUAUCGUCGGCGAAAAAAACGGAUUUUGCGCCCGUGGAUGAAGAUGCUUGACUCCAACGAGCCUACACCAGUUUGCAGAAAGAUCGACGAAUUGCCACCGAGAUACCGCCGGCGUCGUUGGACGUGUAUGUCCCGGGAGUCUGUCCUGCUCUUUCCGUGUGGCGUUCAAUAUGUGGCGACUCUGUCGAAUCUGUUGACCCUGUCUUCGCGAGAUGGAUUGUGUGACCGAAACGGAGGGAAUAAGCGCAGCAUUCUUUUAAGAGAAGGCUGUCCUUUGUGGUGUCGCCCCACAACCCCAACGCCUUCUUUGGAGCCCCGCAAAAACUUU